rnacentral:lncRNA from 1 species
GUGAAAGGAUGGUGUUCGUGAUCUAUAUCAUGGAAAAUAUUUCCUGGAAUGCCUCUAGGUACCUCCAUCUCUGCUCCCUUCCUACCCUCUCCAUUCUAUCCCCAUAUAUAUAUAAAGGUUCCAAGUGUAUUAAUCUGGCGUGACACGUACAUAAUUAGAGGAUGGGUCUAGGUUUAAUGCUCUAUUUUCUACUCACAACCAGUAGAUGAGAAACCAUGUAGAAGAUGUGGCAUUGAUGAAGUAGAUUUAAAGAUCAAGUUCUUUCUGGAAUUUUAAUUUGAGGAUUAACGCAGUUGAGUUGGUUAAUUAUCAUACUUGCAUCUCGCCUCCAUGCACGUAAUUUUAAUGGGGUUAGUAUGCUUUGUACAGACCCAAGAACAAUUCCUUAUAACGCUCACCAUUUGUGCACUUCUUUUGGUCUUGGACAAAGGGUAUGUGGAAGACUGGAUUUGAUAUUAUCCUGGAAUGGCAACUAUUGGUGUGCAACUGAAGAAUAUAUUUCAUGACCGAGAGAUGGUAUUUGGAGAAUCUUAGUUUUGAUAUGUACAUGAAUCUUCUUUUAUUUUGUCGCGCAACUGAAGAUAUGAGACUAUUUGCUCUGUGUAUCUCUUAUAAAUAAGGAAAUGGACUAUAG